GCACUGGCACUCUGUGCAGGACUGCGUCCCCUGUUAGAUAUCUUAACUAUCAAUUUGUGGUUGUGACCACUCCCCUCGAGAACUGGCACAUCAACAGUUCUCUCACCACUCAAUGCAGGCUGCGGUAACUUUUCUGAGGUAGGAUUCCUAUGUGAGCUUCUGCCUGCAGCACUCUCCUUUUGGCAUCCAGAUACUGAUGAUCCAGGAUAUCCAUUAAUUGACUUCCGGUGACGAGAACUUCUCACCACUCAAUGCAGACUGCGGUAACUUUUCUGAGGUAGGAUUCCUAUGUGAACUUCUGCCUGCAGCACUCUCCUUUUGGCUUCCAGAUAUUGAUGAUCCAGGAUAUCCAUUAAUUGACUUCCGGUGUCGAGAACCACCAGUAGAGAUCUUGAUGCUGUUCAUUGACACUGCGGU
rnacentral:lncRNA from 1 species